CUUAAGGACCUUGACUGGUCUCCCUGUGGGCGUCAUGUUGGAAGGAGGGCAGAAGGUAUUUACCUCUGGGGUAUUAGGGCACAGAUUUGCCGUGUGAGAGUUGAAGGCACAAAUGGCACAAGCGGGCGUCUUUAGGCCCGCAAAGUGUCGACAAAAAAGCUCCGUAUCCAGCACACUCCAGUCAGCUUGAUAAUUAAACUGGGAUAUAG